rfam:Rhizoctonia solani AG-1 IA unplaced genomic scaffold scaffold1373, whole genome shotgun sequence.
GCGUGAAUGGGGUAGUGGUAACCUUAAUCGUUGCCAGAAUUCAAUUCGAUUAGCCAGGGGUUCGAUUCCCCUUUCACGCA